CCUACGGGAGGCUGCAGUGGGGAAUAUUGGACAAUGGGGGGAACCCUGAUCCAGCCAUGCCGCGUGUGUGAAGAAGGCCCUCGGGUUGUAAAGCACUUUCAGUGAGGAAGAACGCCUGGUGGUUAAUACCCAUCAGGAAAGACAUCACUCACAGAAGAAGCACCGGCUAACUCCGUGCCAGCAGCCGCGGUAAUACGGAGGGUGCGAGCGUUAAUCGGAAUUACUGGGCGUAAAGCGCGCGUAGGUGGCUUGAUAAGCCGGUUGUGAAAGCCCCGGGCUCAACCUGGGAACGGCAUCCGGAACUGUCAAGCUAGAGUGCAGGAGAGGAAGGUAGAAUUCCCGGUGUAGCGGUGAAAUGCGUAGAGAUCGGGAGGAAUAGCAGUGGCGAAGGCGGCCUUCUGGACUGACACUGACACUGAGGUGCGAAAGCGUGGGUAGCAAACAGGAUUAGAUACCCCAGUAGUC
rnacentral:rRNA from 1 species